AAACAGUUAUAGUUUAUUUGAUGGUCUUUACUACAUGGAUAACCGUGGUAAUUCUAUGGCUAAUACAUGCGCACAUGCCUCUUCCUCUGGAAGGGCAGUGUUUAUUAGAUACAGAACCAACCCACCUUCCGGUGGUCCUCAGGUGAUUCAUAGUAACCGAACGGAUCGCGUUAUGGCUUCGRCCGGCGAUGGAUCAUUCAAGUUUCUGACCUAUCAGCUUUCGACGGUACUGUAUUGGACUACCGUGGCAGUGACGGGUAACGGGGAAUUAGGGUUCGAUUCCGGAGAGGGAGCCUGAGAAACGGCUACCACAUCUAAGGAAGGCAGCAGGCGCGCAAAUUACCCAAUCCUGAUUCAGGGAGGUAGUGACAAGAAAUAACAACACUGGAAAUUUCAUUUCUAGUGAUUGGAAUGAUGGGAAUCCAAACCCCUUUCAGAGUAACAAUUGGAGGGCAAGUCUGGUGCCAGCAGCCGCGGUAAUUCCAGCUCCAAUAGCGUAUAUUAAAGUUGUUGCAGUUAAAAAGCUCGUAGUUGGAUUUCUGCUGGAAGCAGCCAGUCCGCCCUUAGGGGUGUGUACGUGGUGAAAUUCCGGCAUCCUUCUGGUAGCGCUUCACACUUAGCUGGGUGGAGUGUUUUUCCCAGAACUUUUACUUUGAGAAAAUUAGAGUGUUUCAAGCAGGCUUGUUGCCUUGAAUACUGCAGCAUGGAAUAAUAAGAUAGGAUUUCGGCCCUAUUUUGUUGGUUUCUAGGACUGAAGUAAUGAU
rnacentral:rRNA from 1 species